rnacentral:rRNA from 1 species
UACGUAGGGUGCAAGCGUUGUCCGGAAUUAUUGGCGUAAAGAGCUCGUAGGCGGUCUGUCGCGUCGGAUGUGAAAAUCCAGGGCUCAACCCUGGACCUGCAUUCGAUACGGGCAGACUAGAAUUCGGUAGGGGAGACUGGAAUUCCUGGUGUAGCGGUGAAAUGCGCAGAUAUCAGGAGGAGCACCGGUGGCGAAGGCGGGUCUCUGGGCCGAUAUUGACGCUGAGGAGCGAAAGCGUGGGGAGCGAACAGG